AAGAGUUAGGGUCUUCUAGGCCCGACCUCCCAACCCUUUGUUUACUGAACCUCUGUUGCUUCGGCGGGCCCGUCUCACGACCGCCGGAGGAUCGCUGAAAGGCGUCCUCUGGUCAGCGUCUGCCGAUAGCCAACCAUUUCAAACUCUGAAUAAAUCAUGUCCUUACGUCUAAGUCUAUGAUUAAAUUAAAGCA
rnacentral:misc_RNA from 1 species